UAUGGCCUUAACUUAUAUCGCUUAUAGUGUAACUGAGCACAGUUAAACUUCAAGCAACAAACAAUCAAAUGGCAGCAGUUUGGAGAAUCGUUUCGCCAACUUCGGUCUUGGAUAUCGAAAAUCCCAAAAAUGAGUACCGGGUAUAAAAACUGGGAUAAGUAUGUAGAAAUAGUAGGCUGUGGAAUCGAACAAAACUUAGAAAAAAUCCGAACAGGGAAAAUAUUCUCGGAAAUAUUCAUUCAGUCCCCAGGUCUCGGCUGGGGAACAUCAAAAUUUUGAGGUGAUUUUUUUUAGUAAGCUAAAGUUAUAUCAAGCAAACAAAAUAAAACAAAAAAACUUUCCGCACUCUUACUGGAUAUAGCCGUAAAUCCAUAUCCACAUCCACAGGUUUGUUGUUUUUUGAUUUUGGUAUAACGCAGAAUAAAGAAGACACAGAAAAGGAAAGGUAGCUGCUGCUGGAGCUUUGCUGGUUACACACAAUUGUUAAACAUUCAUUUCAAAUCCCUCUGGAACUGGAACUGGAAUCGGGUUAUUGCAUCCUGGCUAAUAGCACUCAAUAAAUACACUAAAUAGAAGCAGCCAUUAUCUGGAAAAAAAGGCUCUGCUCUUGAUGGUACUGACAUUCGCCGCUUUGGAGGUGGGCUCGAAUGUUCGUGGAUCGCAUCAAUACGAUUAUUAAUGGAAUUUAAAGGCUUUUAUGGUUAAUAGUUAAAAUCAUUAAAAAGUUCUUUACCCAUUU